AAUGCGUGAAUGGCCGAAAAAAAAUUCAUCUGAAGGGUGCUGCUGGGGAACUUGGCAAAUUACUGAACGCACUUACUUUCCGAGUGUCUGUUCAGUUGAUGAAAUGAUGGCAUGUAUGUAAAAUUACUAUGAGAUAGAUAACUAAUGUAUUUCAGAAGAUAGCGUGUUUUUUUUUUAACAGCUAGUAACGUUAGCUGUUAAUUUCUGAAUCAAUUUUGAUUAGCACUUGGAGAAUAUGAAUGACUGUUGUUGAUUUUGGUUCUUCUUCUCCCCCAUUUAGAGUUUUCAUAGGCCUCAAAGAAGAGAAUGUCGAGACGCAGUAGCCGUUUACAAGCUAAGCAGCAGCAUGCCCAGCCCAACCAGCCAGACUCUCCGCAAGAAGUCCAGAUAAUUCAGGCCAAGAAGAGAAAAACAGCACAGGAUGUCAAAAAAAGAAAAGAGGAGAUCACCAAGAAGCAUCAGUAUGAGAUCAGGGUAAUGCAGACGUGGACUGGGUGGGUUACAGUAGGAAGAUUCCUCUGACACUUGUGAUGAUCUUCGAGGUUAACAGGAAGGGGUUUCAUAUGUGCCUGAAUACUACAGCUGCAGUGUAGUUGGCCUAGAAGCAGCUGGUUCCUUUUUGUAAAUCCCUCCCUUUUGGAGCUGGCUGGUAUAUCAGGGCCCGCCUAUAUACAGCUCUUUGUUCACUUUCAGACUACAGUUGGAGGGUCCUAAUAGCUACCGAGUUGGCAUAAAAAAGGAUGUGAGAUCACUGACAGCCUGGCAGGAGCCUUUUGCUACCCUUCUUCCUAUGUGUUCACUUGGAGACAAUAAUUUUUUCAAAAAGAUCCUCUAAGUGAGUUUUCUCAACUGUUAGAAAAGAGCUUUUAUUUUUAAAAAGUAUCCUUGCUAAAUUUUUUUUUUUUUUUUUUUUUUUUUUUUUU
rnacentral:lncRNA from 1 species